CAGCUAUCAGUGAUGACCCGCUUGCCUUUCAGCAGCAGCUGUAGUAAUUUGGGAUGUUUAUAAGGAGGAAGUAGUCGUCCUACUUCUCAACUACUAUGUGAGAAAAUAAUAGAGAUAAAUCUUCCUGUAAAUGCUCUGGUGGUGGAAGGAUGUGCAGGAGGUAGGGGAGGCUUUAACACUGCCUGAAGGGCUACUUGUCUGUGAGGAAGCCAGGGAAGCCACAAGUGCUUACACUUCUAUAAGUGAGGUAAUUAUGGGCAAGAACAUGAAGUCUAUGGUGGUGGUGAUCACCUGUUGACUCUGGACAAUGAGGAAUUCAGUUGUUUCCAUUACUGAUAAUCAGUACACUUUAGAGGCUCCAGAUGAAACAGCUGUCAUGCUGGGUGCUGUGUGCCCUUCCCAGGGAGGAACUGUCUCUUCCCCCAGAGAAAUUACCACCUAUGCAGACAAGCCAAGGCAAACAGAGGAAGCACCAUUAUUCUUAUUUUGGAAACUGAGGACUGAUGUUGAGGCUACAUGUGUAGCCAGGACAGCAUCAGCAGACUGCUCCAGCAAGCCAGUGCAGCAGUCCAGGGUGCAGCAUGAGAACUCAGACUGUAGCCCGGCGCAGCCCCAGGGGGCUACUGAGAUCUCCACAGCAAAAAUAGAUAAACGCUGUCCAAAUGUGUUUUGUUUUCAUUUGUUAUAUUCCCUGACCUAAGAAUGUAUAAUUACAGUCUUGCACAACCAGUACAUGACCGUGAACAAAUCCACAAGUUAGGAAGAAGUUUCUGUUUUGUGUGCCUAAACUGUAUAAACAUUGCAUAUAUGCAUUGUAUAUUGCAAGUGGGAAUAGAGGUAUCUGCAUACAAACGUGUAUCAGUGUUAUGAUUCCCUUUGUUGAUGAAGCACAAAUUUGGGCUCUGGGCCUGAUCACGACUCUUAGAUACUUUAGCUUUAGUUCACUGUAUUCCUGCAGCACCGGAUACUCUCCAAUGCGAGCAAUGUGAUACUAAACCUUUUUCAGAGGGCAAGAUCCAUGAAGAUUUGCUAUGCCCUUUCCUGACACUAGGAUCAACUCACGUAGCUGAAUCUGGCAUUCGUAUACAUUUCAAUGUCUCUAUGGGAACUGCAUGUGCUCUUUUUAUUUUAUGCUAAGAUUCCACUAAAUUGUUCUUUGGAUUUAUUUCAAAGAAAGAGAAGGGAGAAAAAGGCAGUAAAGAUUGCUCUUCUUAUGCUUUUAGUUGUUUUUUUAACUCAAUUAUAUUUUGACAAUUCUGUAUGAAACUUUGGAGUAUGUCUUUGUUUAAGCAGUAUACCUUCCAUAGGAAUAGUCAGUUAAAUGUAUAUGGCUAGUUUCAGGCAUAACAAGCUUUGACAAGGGCAUUUAGCGGUUGUAAUUCAAAUCUAAUUCAGAACAUCUUAGCACUGGACCUGUCAAGCACUUGAAAUGCACUGUAGCUGCAAAACGAAGGGAUAUGGUCCCAGUCGUGCUCUGUGUGGCAUCAAGCUGAUGUGUCAACAAGAGCAGUUACAAUUACAGGUUCUUUCAAGCAUACUAAACUAAUUUACAGCACUCUGAAAUUGUGGGAAAAGGCCUUGCUGGCAUGAAGGUACAUGGGACUUUCAUACUGCAAAGACAAGGCAGGUGACAAGAGGGUUUCAUUCAGGAGUUUCAAUAUUGCACAGUUUCAGUGCCACCUUUGGAGCGGGGGGAGGGAUUGUUAGAUUUGUAACUAGAUAUUUUGUGGAUAAUAAUAGAUUUGCCUUGCAGCCAUCAAAUACCCUUGUCAAAUCCCAUUAGAAUCACAUUGCACACUUGUUUGAAACCUCAAUCUAAAAUGUACCCAUUUGCUAAGUGAGGAUGAGGUCCUAAUUGCGCUGGCAGUGACUGGUCCUUUUUGUUUGCCUGUCUUGUUGGCAUAAUAAACAGCACUGAGCCUGGCUGCA
rnacentral:lncRNA from 1 species